rnacentral:rRNA from 1 species
ACGUAGGGGGCAAGCGUUGUCCGGAAUUAUUGGGCGUAAAGCGCGCGCAGGCGGCUAUUUAAGUCUGGUGUUUAAACCUUGGGCUCAACCUGAGGUCGCACUGGAAACUGGGUGGCUUGAGUACAGAAGAGGAAAGUGGAAUUCCACGUGUAGCGGUGAAAUGCGUAGAGAUGUGGAGGAACACCAGUGGCGAAGGCGACUUUCUGGGCUGUAACUGACGCUGAGGCGCGAAAGCGUGGGGAGCAAACAGGAUUAGAUACCCUGGUAGUCCACGCCGUAAACGAUGAGUGCUAGGUGUUGGGGGUUUCGAUACCCUUGGUGCCGAAGUUAACACAGUAAGCACUCCGCCUGGGGAGUACGGUCGCAAGACUG